rnacentral:rRNA from 1 species
GAUGAACGCUGGCGGCGUGCCUAAUACAUGCAAGUCGAGCGAACGGACGAGAAGCUUGCUUCUCUGAUGUUAGCGGCGGACGGGUGAGUAACACGUGGAUAACCUACCUAUAAGACUGUGAUAACUUCGGGAAACCGGAGCUAAUACCGGAUAAUAUUUUGAACCGCAUGGUUCAAAAGUGAAAGACGGUCUUGCUGUCACUUAUAGAUGGAUCCGCGCUGCAUUAGCUAGUUGGUAAGGUAACGGCUUACCAGGGCAACGAUGCAUAGCCGACCUGAGAGGGUGAUCGGCCACACUGGAACUGAGACACGGUCCAGACUCCUACGGGAGGCAGCAGUAGGGAAUCUUCCGCAAUGGGCGAAAGCCUGACGGAGCAACGCCGCGUGAGUGAUGAAGGUCUUCGGAUCGUAAAACUCUGUUAUUAGGGAAGAACAUAUGUGUAAGUAACUGUGCACAUCUUGACGGUACCUAAUCAGAAAGCCACGGCUAACUACGUG